AGUCAAUAGAUACCCUGGUAGUCCACGCCGUAAACGAUGUCGACUUGGAGGUUGUGCCCUUGAGGCGCGGCUUCCGGAGCUAAACGCGUUAAGUCGACCGCCUGGGGAGUACGGCCGCAAGGUUAAAACUCAAAUGAAUUGACGGGGGCCCGCACAAGCGGUGGAGCAUGUGGUUUAAUUCGAUGCAACGCGAAGAACCUUACCUACUCUUGACAUCCAGAGAACCUUCCAGAGAUGGAUUGGUGCCUUCGGGAACUCUGAGACAGGUGCUGCAUGGCUGUCGUCAGCUCGUGUUGUGAAAUGUUGGGUUAAGUCCCGCAACGAGCGCAACCCUUAUCCUUUGUUGCCAGCGGUCCGGCCGGGAACUCAAAGGAGACUGCCAGUGAUAAACCUGGAGGAAGGUGGGGAUGACGUCAAGUCAUCAUGGCCCUUACGAGUAGGGCUACACACGUGCUACAAUGGCGCAUACAAAGAGAAGCGACCUCGCGAGAGCAAGCGGACCUCAUAAAGUGCGUCGUAGUCCGG
rnacentral:rRNA from 1 species